GUGCUCGCUUUGGCAGUACAUAUACUAAAAUUGGAAUAGCACAGAGAAGAUUAGCAUGGUCCCUGCGCAAGGAUGACACACAAAUUUGUGAACUGUUUCAUAUUUUU
ensembl:snRNA Gm25598 predicted gene, 25598